AAUACGUGUUGUGGGCAUUGGCGAAGUAAACAUUUGAAUCAUUACCAAGCCUCUGAAUAGUAUUCUAAGUCCAUUUGCUAAAAAGUAGUGAUCUUGUCCCUUAACUU
rnacentral:snoRNA from 1 species